GUUGUACUCUCUUCGGCCAGUUC
rnacentral:siRNA from 1 species